ACUGCUCAGUAACACGUGGAUAACCUGCCCUUGGGUCCGGCAUAACCCCGGGAAACUGGGGAUAAUUCCGGAUAACGCAUAUGUGCUGGAAUGCUUUAUGCGUGAAAUGGAUUCGUCUGCCCAAGGAUGGGUCUGCGGCCUAUCAGGUAGUAGUGAGUGUAAUGGACCUACUAGCCAACAACGGGUACGGGUUGUGAGAGCAAGAGCCCGGAGAUGGAUUCUGAGACAUGAAUCCAGGCCCUACGGGGCGCAGCAGGCGCGAAAACUUUACAAUGCGGGAAACCGUGAUAAGGGGACACCGAGUGCCAGCAUCAUAUGCUGGCUGUCCAGGUGUGUAAAAUACACCUGUUAGCAAGGGCCGGGCAAGACCGGUGCCAGCCGCCGCGGUAACACCGGCGGCCCGAGUGGUGAUCGUGAUUAUUGGGUCUAAAGGGUCCGUAGCCGGUUUGGUCAGUCCUCCGGGAAAUCUGAUAGCUCAACUAUUAGGCUUUCGGGGGAUACUGCCAGACUUGGAACCGGGAGAGGUAAGAGGUACUACAGGGGUAGGAGUGAAAUCUUGUAAUCCCUGUGGGACCACCUGUGGCGAAGGCGUCUUACCAGAACGGGUUCGACGGUGAGGGACGAAAGCUGGGGGCACGAACCGGAUUAGAUACCCGGGUAGUCCCAGCCGUAAACGAUGCUCGCUAGGUGUCAGGCAUGGCGCGACCGUGUCUGGUGCCGCAGGGAAGCCGUGAAGCGAGCCACCUGGGAAGUACGGCCGCAAGGCUGAAACUUAAAGGAAUUGGCGGGGGAGCA
rnacentral:rRNA from 1 species